CCUACGGGAGGCAGCAGUGAGGAAUAUUGGUCACUGGACGAGAGUCUGAACCAGCCAAGUAGCGUGAAGGAUGACUGCCCUAUGGGUUGUAAACUUCUUUUAUAAAGGAAUAAAACGAGGCACGUGUGCCUGUUUGCAUUUACUUUAUGAAUAAGGAUCGGCUAACUCCGUUCCAGCAGCCGCGGUAAUACGGAGGAUCCGAGCGUUAUCCGGAUUUAUUGGGUUUAAAGGGAGCGUAGAUGGGUUGUUAAGUCAGUUGUGAAAGUUUGCGGCUCAACCGUAAAAUUGCAAUUGAUACUGGCAGUCAUGAGUACAGUUGAGGUAGGCGGAAUUCGUGGUGUAGCGGUGAAAUGCUUAGAUAUCACGAAGAACCCCGAUUGCGAAGGCAGCUUACUAAACUGUGACUGACAUUGAUGCUCGAAAGUGUGGGUAUCAAACAGGAUUAGAUACCUUGUAGUC
rnacentral:rRNA from 1 species